rnacentral:rRNA from 1 species
CACGGGGGGAGCAAGCGUUGUUCGGAAUCACUGGGCGUAAAGCGCGUGUAGGCGGCCAAGUAAGUGGGAUGUGAAAUCCCCCGGCUUACCCGGGGACCUGCAUCUCAUACUGCUUGGCUUGAGUAUGGGAGAGGAUGAGGGAAUUCUCGGUGUAGAGGUGAAAUUCGUAGAUAUCGAGAGGAACACCGGUGGCGAAGGCGGCCAACUGGACGAAUACUGACGCUGAGACUCGAAAGCGUGGGGAGCAAACAGG